UUGGGGUUAAUGAUGACCUGACAUAUUGUGAUUAUUAAAUUCUUCUCACAAUCUUUCUCUUCUCACAAUCUUUCUUAAAUGAUAUACCAUAAGUUUACUGUUUUCAAGCUCCUAUUGGACUGAUAGGAACAUAUGACAUAUGCAAUAUCAGCUAAAAUCAAUUAUAUGAUAAUAUACGGCAUUCAAUAUUAAAUACAAAUUUAAAAUUCAUUAUAAGUUGUUUAUAAAUGAUGAUUAACCUUCACACUAAAUGUUUAAAACAACCUUAUAUCGCUAUAUACGUAAACAUGUCCGGUGUUAAAGUAUAAGUUUCCUGAAGACAAGUUUGUGACUAAAUGACAUAUUGUGUAUUAAUGCUGCG
rnacentral:lncRNA from 1 species